rnacentral:rRNA from 1 species
UACGUAGGGUCCGAGCGUUGUCCGGAAUUACUGGGCGUAAAGAGCUCGUAGGUGGUUUGUCGCGUUGUUCGUGAAAACUCACAGCUCAACUGUGGGCGUGCGGGCGAUACGGGCAGACUUGAGUACUGCAGGGGAGACUGGAAUUCCUGGUGUAGCGGUGGAAUGCGCAGAUAUCAGGAGGAACACCGGUGGCGAAGGCGGGUCUCUGGGCAGUAACUGACGCUGAGGAGCGAAAGCGUGGGGAGCGAACAGGA